GCAGUGGUGGUUUGGUGGUAAACUUCUCCUCUUCCACGUGGGAGACCCAGGUUCGAUUCCUAGCCAAUGCA
rnacentral:tRNA from 1 species